rnacentral:rRNA from 1 species
AUUGAACGCUGGCGGCAUGCUUUACACAUGCAAGUCGAACGAGUGGCGGACGGGUGAGUAAUGUCUGGGACCCUGCCUGAUGGAGGGGGAUAACUACUGGAAACGGUAGCUAAUACCGCAUACCAUCAGAUGUGCCCCGAUGGGCUUAGCUUGUUGGUGGGGUAACGGCUAACCAAGGCGACGAUCCCUAGCUGGGAUGAGAGGAGGACCAGCCACACUGGAGCUGAGACACGGUACAGACACGUACGGGAGGCAGCAGUGGGGAAUAUUGGACAAUGGGCGCAAGCCUGAUGCAGCCAUGCCGCGUGUAUGAAGAAGGCCUUCGGGUUGUAAAGUGCUUUCAGCGGGGAAGCGGUACCCGCAGAAGAAGCACCGGCUAACUCCGUGCCAGCCGCCGCGGUAAUUC